AAUAUGAUUCGAAGAGGUAGAGAGACUGUCGCCUGGCCAGAUCUUGGCAUGUGCACGUCCCCUCACCUUUUCUAUCUACACACACCUGUGCACCUAUUGUAGAUCCCUCUCGAAAGAGAGGGAACUAUGUUUUCAUCACAUCACACACAAUGUAUGUCUAGAAUGUAAAAAACAAUAUAUACAACUUUCAGCAACGGAUCUCUUGGCUCUCGCAUCGAUGAAGAACGCAGCGAAUUGCGAUAAGUAAUGUGAAUUGCAGAUUUCCAGUGAAUCAUCGAAUCUUUGAACGCACCUUGCGCUCCUUGGUAUUCCGAGGAGCAUGCCUGUUUGAGUGUCAUCGAAUUCUCAACCAUUCUCUCUUUUCUGGGAGUAUGGCUUGGACUUGGGGGUUGCUGGCAGCACUGUCAGCUCUCCUUAAAUGUAUUAGCAAUCGAGUUGGCUAGUCUUUUGACGUACACGGCCUCGGACGUGAUAAUGAUCGUCGUGGCUGGAGCGUCUUUCCUAGACUAUGUACAUAGAUCGCUUCUAAUCUGUUGUCUAUCGAGCUUAGCUACUAGGUAGUCUUUUUGGCUGGCGAACGCAAGCGAGACAUUCACAUUCUCAGAGACUUGACCUCAAAUCAGGUAGGACUACCCGCUGAACUUAAGCAUAUCAAUAAGCGGAGGAAAAGAAACUAACAAGGAUUCCCCUAGUAACUGCGAGUGAAGAGGGAAAAGCUCAAAUUUUGAAUCUGGCGGUCAUUUCGGCCGUCCGAGUUGUAAUCUAGAGAAGCGUCUUCCGCGCUGGACCGUGUACAAGUCU
rnacentral:rRNA from 1 species